rnacentral:tRNA from 1 species
UGGCGAAAAGGUAAACGCGCUAAAUUUAGAAUUUAGUAUUUUAUAAUAAGAGUUCGAAUCUCUU